AUAGCAUAUGUCAUAUGAUCUCGUGCUGCCAGCAGAAAACAGUAAUGGCCACCUCACACCAAAAAUAUAGCCUUUGAGUCGUUGCAAUUAAGCACAUUCAAAAAGAAAGCGUCCAAUGCCAUAAAGGAGAUUUGGAGGUUUGCUCAGAAGGCUAUGGUUAAUCUGGAGCCAUGGUAUCCGAAGUGUGCCGAUGAGGGUUCGCAUGCGCAUUGCCCGGCAAAGAAACGAAGAAGAAGAUGGCAAGGAGGAGCUCUAUUCCCUAGUAACAGUCACCGAGGUUCCUCCAUAGGGUCUCCAGGGAUUAAUUAAUUAGGCACCACGGUCCUCACGAAUAGCGUCCCUGACUUAUAGAUUGUUGGUAACUUGGUUAUUGAGUAGCCAUAGUUCCUGUAACUCAGAUUCUAAUGCAGUAUCUAUCUUUAGUUCAUAA